rnacentral:rRNA from 1 species
UGAGGAAGUAAAAGUCGUAACAAGGUUUCCGUAGGUGAACCUGCGGAAGGAUCAUUAACGAGUUUUGAAAUGGGUUGUAGCUGGCCUUACACGGGCAUGUGCACACCCUGCUCAUCCACUCUCAUACCCCUGUGCACUUAUUGUAGGCUUGGUCGGAUAAGUUAGCCUUGGUUAACUUUGAAAGCCUUGUCUAUGCUUAUUACAAACGCUUCAGUUAAAGAAUGUAAUACUGCGUCUAACGCAUUAAAUACAACUUUCAGCAACGGAUCUCUUGGCUCUCGCAUCGAUGAAGAACGCAGCGAAAUGCGAUAAGUAAUGUGAAUUGCAGAAUUCAGUGAAUCAUCGAAUCUUUGAACGCACCUUGCGCUCCUUGGUAUUCCGAGGAGCAUGCCUGUUUGAGUGUCAUGGUAUUCUCAACCUUCAAAGCUUUUGCAAUGGAGGCUUGGAUUUGGAGGCUGUGUUGGCGCAAGUCAACUCCUCUUAAAUGCAUUAGUGUGAACCUUACGGAUCGCCUUCAGUGUGAUAAUUGUCUACGCUGUGGUGUUGAAGUAUAUUCGAGUUCAUGCUUCUAAUCGUCCGCAUGGACAACUUUACUUGACAAUCUGACCUCAAAUCAGGUAG